UACGUAGGGUCCGAGCGUUGUCCGGAUUUAUUGGGCGUAAAGGGCUCGUAGGCGGCCAACUAAGUCAGACGUGAAAUCCCUCGGCUUAACCGGGGAACUGCGUCUGAUACUGGAUGGCUUGAGUUUGGGAGAGGGAUGCGGAAUUCCAGGUGUAGCGGUGAAAUGCGUAGAGAUGUGGAGGAACACCAAUGGCGAAGGCAGCCUCCUGGGCCAACACUGACGCUCAUGCACGAAAGCGUGGGGAGCAAACAGG
rnacentral:rRNA from 1 species